rnacentral:rRNA from 1 species
UACAGAGGUCUCGAGCGUUCAACGGAUUCAUUGGGCUUAAAGCGUACGUAGGCGGGCGUGCAGGCGUCGUGUGAAAGCCCUCGGCUCAACCGAGGAAUUGCAUGGCGAACCGCACGUCUUGAGACAAGUAGGGGCGGUCGGAACGAUAGGUGGAGUGGUGAAAUGCGUUGAUAUCUAUCGGAACGCCGAUGGUGAAGACAGGCCGCUGGGCUUGUUCUGACGCUGAGGUACGAAAGCGUGGGUAGCGAACGGG